GCGAAAACUUUACAAUGCUGGCAACAGCGAUAAGGGAACCUCGAGUGCCAGGUUACAAAUCUGGCUGUCGAGAUGCCUAAAAAGCAUUUCAUAGCAAGGGCCGGGCAAGACCGGUGCCAGCCGCCGCGGUAACACCGGCGGCUCGAGUGGUAACCGUUAUUAUUGGGUCUAAAGGGUCUGUAGCCGGCCGGAUAAGUCUCUUGAGAAAUCUGGCAGCUUAACUGUCAGGCUUUCAGGAGAUACUGUCUGGCUCGAGGCCGGGAGAGGUGAGGGGUACUUCAGGGGUAGGGGUGAAAUCUUGUAAUCCUUGAAGGACAACCAGUGGCGAAGGCGGCUCACCAGAACGGACCUGACGGCAAGGGACGAAAGCUAGGGGCACGAACC
rnacentral:rRNA from 1 species